UACGGAGGAUGCAAGCGUUAUCCGGAAUGAUUGGGCGUAAAGCGUCCGCAGGUGGCUAUGUAAGUCUGCUGUUAAAGAGUGAGGCUCAACCUCAUAAGAGCAGUGGAAACUACAUGGCUAGAGUGCGUUCGGGGCAGAGGGAAUUCCUGGUGUAGCGGUGAAAUGCGUAGAGAUCAGGAAGAACACCGGUGGCGAAAGCGCUCUGCUAGGCCGCAACUGACACUCAUGGAUGAAAGCUAGGGGAGCGAAUGGG
rnacentral:rRNA from 1 species